GAUGAAGAACGCAGCGAAAUGCGAUAAGUAAUGUGAAUUGCAGAAUUCCGUGAAUCAUCGAAUCUUUGAACGCACAUUGCGCCCUCUGGUAUUCCGGGGGGCAUGCCUGUCCGAGCGUCAUUGCAAACCCUCAAGCCCGGCUUGUGUGAUGGGUCCCGCGUCCGCCUUCCGGGGCGGACGGGCCCGAAAUGCAGUGGCGGCACCGCGUCCGGUCCUCGAGCGUAUGGGGCUUUGUCACCCGCUCUGUAGGCCCGGCCGGCGCUUGCCGAUCAACCCAAAUUUUUUAUCCAGGUUGACCUCGGAUCAGGUAGGGAUACCCGCUGAACUUAAGCAUAUCAAUAAGCGGAGGA
rnacentral:misc_RNA from 1 species